rnacentral:tRNA from 1 species
GGCUGUAGCUCAGUGGCAGAGCGCUUAUCUAGCACAUGUGAGAUACUGGGUUCAAUCCUCAGCACCA